ACUUAUAAAGCUUGUAAAAAUUAGAAAAAUCAAAAAAACCAGAUGGACCUUAAGGCAUCAGAGUAAGAGGAUAUUCACUAGAAGAGCAGUCGUUGCAGUGUGCUGGCUCAAGGACCAAACCAGAGAAGAGAGGUUCUUAACUCCACAUAAGGAAUUCCAAAUUGCAUUUGUUCAGUCACUGAAGGCUGAUUCAAGGGUCAUAUAGGUUUAGUGUAAUGCCAAAGCACUGCAAUGCAGUUCUAAUUGUAAAAAUGUUAGUUGUGAUUUAAAAAAAAAAAAAAUAAUUUCUAGUAUCGCUUCUUUGAAUCCAGACAGAUAGUGAGUUGUUAGUCUUGAGCAUAGGUAGACAAAAUUUCCAUAGAAAACCGAGUGGUAUGUACAAUGUGCAGUUCAAAACAUAUCACUAAAACAUAGUAAUGAGAAAUUAAACCAGAGUUAAGGGCAUUACAUGACUAGAUGAAAGAUAACCAACAGCAUUUUUUAUAAUUUCUCUAUAAUUUCAUAAGAGAAAAAUCAACAACAAUUGCAAAUCAGCCCUAGAGUUGCUUCAGUUUCACUGGAGCUGUGGUAUUAAUGAUAUGACCUAAAGAAUAGAAUAAUAUGAAAUGGAUAGCUGAAAUAUCAGAGGUAAGAGAAGUUUGCUUUGUUUUGCUUUGGGUUUUUUUUCAAUUGCUGCUAGCAGUAUCCAGUAAUAAAUUUAAUAACCGACAGCUUAAAAAUAACCCUUUGGUUCCACACAUACCUUUUUUUAAUAUCUGCUGUUCACUUAUUACUUCUUAUAUGCCUGGUGUUUCCUUACAAACUUUCCAUCCAGACCAGAGCUACACAAGAUGCAUAGGUUCAGAGGGACUAUUCAAACACUGACCUCAGUUCCAGUUAAAUGAUUUUACAAACUGAGAUUUCACUGUGCACUUCAGGCUUUUAACUAACAGCAAAACUUCAAGCAAAACUUCAUCAUAAACACAUAAAAUUAUUGAAGUUUCUGAAACAAAACAAAGUGCCCCUCCAAUAUUGUGAAACAAGAGGUUAUGUCUGCUAUAUUUAAAGAAUGAAUUGGAAGCAAUUCACUUUUUCACUCUUUUUGUGGAUUUUUAUUGUUGACAUGACAAACCUGUUUAUAAACAUAAAAUCCAUGUACAGUUUUGUAGAAAAUCAAAAUCCCUUACUAUAAUAUACAGAACUAGGUAGAUUCACUAGAAUAAUCCACAGAAAAGAAGUACUUAUGGGCACGCAGAUGCAUACAUGUAUAUACACACACAUACAAUUCUAUUUCUACUGGCUCCUAAUUUUAGCAUGUCACAGUGGAAUUACUGCAACAAUUUUGCUAUUAGACAGGACUUGAUUACCAAGCAAGGGUAGAAUUUAUAGCCUCCUAAUUUUAAAUUCUUCCCAUCUGAGCACAUUUGUCAACUUAAAAAAAAAGUUACUGGUUACUAGCACAUUGUUGUGUCUGUUAGCUAAACUUAGUGAGACACAGGGGAGAAGGUAUAUUAGAAAAAAAUUGUAUUUCAGUUAGAGAGGGGGUCAUAAUAAUGAACAACAUGUAGAUUUGUAUAAAAAUAUAUCUACUCAAGAUUUAAAAGGAAUCAAGACUAUGUAAGCAUGACACCCCCCACCUAUGUAUACAUGCAUAUCCGUGAAGCAUGCUACAAUUAAGAUUUCCAGCUACUGAGAAUCAAUACCAAAUUUUUUAAAGUUUGAAGAGAGAGUUAAGAUCAGUUCAUAUAAAAUCUGAAAUAAAUACUUUUUGUGAUGUUGUUCUGGGCUGCUCCAUGACAAAGAGAAAUCAUGACCUUCAUUUCAUACUCCAUGGGAGGUGUAUCAACCUUCCAGCAUUUCACAGGCUCCCGCAAAGUCUUCGUGUUUCCAAACUUUCCAUAGCUGAAGCAAGGCAUGGAUGCAAUUCAACAGCCAAAAUAUUAUUGCAAGCAGAUAUCAAUACUGUCUAAGUGGCAUGGGAAAGGGCUUCAUUAGGAUCUUUUACCAUAACUUGUUAUGUAAAACUGUUCUAGUCACUGUUGGGAAAUUCUUUGGUGCUAGAUUCAAGCUGCUCUUUGGACAAGCUAAAACUUCAAAACUACCACACCUUUUGGGAAGGGGAACUAAUUAGUUAGGAAGAGAAUCUAUUUUCAUGAUGCACCUAUAGAAAUGCAACUGCCAGUCAGAAAGCUCACCUUUUCUUAGAUGGGAUUCUUUCAUUCUCCACAUUACCAUACUGACCAUUUUAGAAUUGCUCAGGUAGAUAGUAAGCAACAUGAAAUUAUUCAUUAAGACAAAUGACUACAACCUUUUGCCUAAAUUCAUGCAAAUUUAACUCCUUACAACAUAAAUUAUUCCACUACCUUCAUUUGCAAUUGAUUGGUCAGUUAUCAGCCAGUAUGAGUGAAAAUGGCAGAAUCAGGCCCAAUGCAGCCUACAGGAGACAGAUUUUUUUAACAAUUGCCCUAAACACAUUUUUGUCCUCUCUACCAAAGUUGGGCAGCAAUCUUUCAGUGUAUUUCAUUGAGAUAUUUUAUAUGAAUGAGAUAGAGAAUUUUCCGGUUCAGAGUCUGGAAUCUCCUCCGAUAGAUCUUGGAAGGAAUUGACACAGUACUUAAUGAAUGUUUUCCAGUUUCAGUUUAUGCCCUUAAAACAGCCUACUAUAACAAUCUAGGGGUUCAUUUCUAGUUUUAUCUCGAUGACAAACUGUAUUCUAACUUCCGUGGUUCAGACUAUGUUUUCAAAAUUUAAAGCUCAAGAUUCAGACACCAUAAUGUUCUGCCUUUCCUAUGUUCUCCUCCUCCUCCACCUCCUCUGCUAUAAUUUGUUGUCCUUCUCAAAAGAGAUUUUUUUCUUUUUAUUUGUUAUUUUUCUUUUAUAUGCAGCCCUUCACUCAGCCUGAAGUUCAGAAUAAAGUCCUCUCUUCAUAUUGAAAUUAAAAUGCAAUUGAAUCAAUUAAGCAAGAAUGGAAAGGCCUUAACAAUGUUUUCAGACAUUUCUUUCUUUGUUAAGGAGAAAAAUAUUAAUAAGAAUUCUAGCCAGAAACUGCACUAUGUUUCUGUUGUGAUCAACUCCAUUCUUUCUCUGAUUUGCUAGGCUGUGUCUGUGAGCAGCUACUAUGGCAGCCUUUUGCUCCCUGCUGUAUUUUGGAACAGGUAAAAAUAUUUCAGCUACACUGUGUGGCCAGAUUGGAGUCAUCUGCCAAGACAUGAAGGAGUGGCAUAGCUCAGGGAUGAAGCAGUUCUGACAGCCAGCGCCAGAGGCAGGCAGAGAGCUCGUGUUGAUGGUGGGAGUCCCGUGGUGCCUUUGUGUGCGACAGUUUUAGAGCUUCGGUGGCAGCACAUUGGGCAGGAGACAACCCCAGAGUAUUAGAGUGGGCCUAAACCCAGCUGUCAGCAGAAUUGUUAUCCUAAACAGACCUGAAAACGAAACAGCUCAAAGCAACCUUGUGGUCCAAGGAUGAGCAGCCCCUGUGCAUUCCUCAGCAGGCAAGAGAGCACCCUCACCAAAUUAGCAUCAAGAAUAAAUGUGCUCCACAGAAACAACUUCAUGUUGCUCAGCCAUUCCUCAAUACACAGUUUAAAUGAUGUUUCACUCACUCACUCACUGUCUGUGCACAUCCCCAGU